rnacentral:misc_RNA from 1 species
UUAAAGGGAGACCUACCCAACUGAUUGAUUCAACUAGUAAUAGUUGAGGUAAUAUCGAGCAGAUGGUCAACCAAAGGUCGGUCGAAGAUUGGCAGAUUGGCUUUCAAACUAUAAUUUCGGUUUGUUUAGUUGUUGAAUAAAGAUUUAGCACCUAAAUUGGAUUAAGAAAUUUAAUCAAAUUUAGAAUGCUGAAUGUGAAUUCAGCCAGAACCAUGAAAACUGCAUAAUGACGCAAAAGAAUUGUAGGUAGUAAUUUUGUAACUACAGCAAUCGAGAAGUAUAAAAGCUUCGGUGUAUUGGCAGUAGGAAUAAAAUUGUCAACGUACAACACAGAGAUAGUAUAGAUAGA